GACGAACGUUGGCGGUGCGUCUUAGACAUGCAAGUCGAGCGAGAAAGUCCCGCAAGGGAUGAGUAAAGCGGCGAACGGGUGAGUAAUACUUGGGUAACGUACCUCCGAGAUCGGGACAACAGACCGAAAGGUUUGCUAAUACCGGAUAAGACCACAGUGGCUACGGCCGCAGGGGUCAAAGAUGGCGCAAGCUAUCACUUGGAGAUCGGCUCAAGCACCAUUAGCUAGUUGGCGGGGUAAUGGCCCACCAAGGCUACGAUGGUUAGCCGACCUGAGAGGGUGAUCGGCCACACUGGGACUGAGAUACGGCCCAGACUCCUACGGGAGGCAG
rnacentral:rRNA from 1 species